rnacentral:misc_RNA from 1 species
GAUGAAGAACGUAGCGAAAUGCGAUAAGUAGUGUGAAUUGCAGAAUUCAGUGAAUCAUCGAAUCUUUGAACGCACAUUGCGCCCCUUGGUAUUCCUUAGGGCAUGCCUGUUCGAGCGUCAUUUAAACCUUCAAGCUAAGCUUGGUGUUGGGUGACUGUCCGCUUCACGGCGGACUCGCCUCAAAAUUAUUGGCGGCCGGUACAUUGGCUUCGAGCGCAGCAGAAACGCGAACUCGGGCCCGUCGUAUUGGCUCCCAGAAGCUAUCUUCACAAUUUUGACCUCGGAUCAGGUAGGGAUACCCGCUGAACUUAAGCAUAUCAAUAAGCGGAGGA